CAAACGUAACCUUGGGGUCUGUGG
rnacentral:piRNA from 1 species